rnacentral:rRNA from 1 species
GACGAACGCUGGCGGCGUGCUUAACACAUGCAAGUCGAACGAUGACGACCGAGCUUGCUCGGUCUGAUUAGUGGCGAACGGGUGAGUAACACGUGAGCAACCUGCCCUUCACUCUGGGAUAACCUCGGGAAAUCGGGGCUAAUACCGGAUAUGAGCUCCUGUCGCAUGGCGGGUGUUGGAAAGUUUUUCGGUGAAGGAUGGGCUCGCGGCCUAUCAGUUUGUUGGUGAGGUAGUGGCUCACCAAGGCGAUGACGGGUAGCCGGCCUGAGAGGGCGACCGGCCACACUGGGACUGAGACACGGCCCAGACUCCUACGGGAGGCAGCAGUGGGGAAUAUUGCACAAUGGGCGAAAGCCUGAUGCAGCGACGCCGCGUGAGGGAUGACGGCCUUCGGGUUGUAAACCUCUUUCAGCAGGGAAGAAGCGAAAGUGACGGUACCUGCAGAGGAAGCGCCGGCUAACUACGUG